rnacentral:rRNA from 1 species
CUCGUAGGCGGUCGUGUAAGUCGGGUGUGAAAUCUCCAGGCUCAACUUGGAGGGGCCACCCGAUACUGCUCGACUUGAGUCCGGUAGGGGAGUGGGGAAUUCCUGGUGUAGCGGUGAAAUGCGCAGAUAUCAGGAGGAACACCGGUGGCGAAGGCGCCACUCUGGGCCGGUACUGACGCUGAGGAGCGAAAGCGUGGGUAGCAAACA